CCUGUCCCUUUUCAGAGAUGACAAAGAUUUUCACCCAGACACUAAGACCACCGGACAUGACAUCUUGGGACAGUCCAGCGCCGACCCUGGGAGGGUCCCGUGAAUCCUUCGAGACCACCAGACAUCACGACCUCUGCCACUCCGGUCAAAAGAGGGAUUCUGAAAUGUCACUUCCCCCCAGUUCUCUUUUUUUGUUGAGGCUCUUUUCAAGUCUUUGGAGCAUUAUUAAACGAUCCUACUAUUGAUUUUCCGCGCUCAGUACUGGUGAAAUGGAGUGAUUUGAGGACUAAUGACUGAAGUCCACUCACUGUCUAAAGGACAGGUACAAAGGCAGACGUACUUGGAACUCAUUCCUCCAACCAUCCUCGUAACUUAGACUUCGGCGCCUGGAAAUAGGACAGAUUUCCCACGGUGAAAAUGUAAAACUGGUGACUCUGGAGAGCAAUGAGGCAGCCUCUAAUAAAGGUGUGGACUGCACACUUACAAUCUGGAAACAUUUCCACUCCUGGAUGAAAGUCCUCACCUGCGCUCAAGAAGACGUGUACCAGAAAGUUCAGAGCAACACUGUCAUGAUGGAGAAAAAGCAGAAACAACCUACAUCCACCUAUGCUUCUAUCCAGAAGUAUAGAUAUUAGACGGAUUAUCUAGGCAGCAAUUAAAAGGAAGGAAACAGAGGCACCACAAGCAAGGUGGGCAUAUCACAAAAAAAUAUAAUGUGGAGUGAUAUAUAUCUGAAAAGGGCAGAAAUGUAGGUGGACUAUGCUACUGUUUAUACAAAGAUUAAA